CAAGUCGAACGGCAUCACAGUCUAGCUUGCUAGAUGGGUGGCGAGUGGCGAACGGGUGAGUAACGCGUAGGAAUAUGCCUUGAAGAGUGGGACAACUUGGGGAAACUCAAGCUAAUACCGCAUAAUGUCUGAGGACGAAAGCUGGGGACCUUAUGGCCUGGCGCUUUAAGAUUAGCCUGCGUCCGAUUAGCUAGUUGGUGGGGUAAGGGCCUACCAAGGCGACGACCGGUAGCUGGUCUGAGAGGAUGACCAGCCACACUGGAACUGAGACACGGUCCAGACUCCUACGGGAGGCAGCAGUGGGGAAUAUUGGACAAUGGGGGCAACCCUGAUCCAGCAAUGCCGCGUGUGUGAAGAAGGCCUGAGGGUUGUAAAGCACUUUCAGUGGGGAGGAGGUUUUAUAGGUUAAGAGCUAAUAAGAUGGACGUUACCCACAGAAGAAGCACCGGCUAACUCCGUGCCAGCAGCCGCGGUAAUACGGAGGGUGCGAGCGUUAAUCGGAAUUACUGGGCGUAAAGGGUGCGUAGGUGGUUGAUUAAGUUAUCUGUGAAAUUCCUGGGCUUAACCUGGGCAGGUCAGAUGAUACUGGUUGACUCGAGUAUGGGAGAGGGUAGUGGAAUUUCCGGUGUAGCGGUGAAAUGCGUAGAGAUCGGAAGGAACACCAGUGGCGAAGGCGGCUACCUGGCCUAAUACUGACACUGAGGCACGAAAGCGUGGGGAGCAAACAGGAUUAGAUACCCUGGUAGUCCACGCUGUAAACGAUGUCAACUAGCUGUUGGUUAUAUGAAAAUAAUUAGUGGCGCAGCAAACGCGAUAAGUUGACCGCCUGGGGAGUACGGUCGCAAGAUUAAAACUCAAAGGAAUUGACGGGGGCCCGC
rnacentral:rRNA from 1 species